AGCUGAUCUGAUCCUGAACUACACAAGACACAACAACUGAUCUAUUCAACACAGUUCAAUCUACAAACCAGGAACAUUCCCUUUAUUCAACAUGCUGGACCUGGAUUACUGGAUGGUUUAUCUCCAUCUACUGGUUGUUCUCACAGGUGUCGACUGUGAAGAUCUGAGUCCAGUCAAGAAUGAAGAGUCCAGUUUAGAAGGAAACUCUGUUACUCUCACAUAUAAAUACCCUAAAAUGGUGUCAACUGAUUAUUUCUUCUGGUAUCGACAAUAUCCAGGAAAACCACCACAGCUCCUCAUUUCACACUCAUCCUCAGGAUCAACAGGAAUUGAAAAAGUUUCUGGACUGAAGAUUAAUGUGGAGAAAAACCUCAUCUCUAUGAGCAUCUCCUCUGCUGCAGUGUCAGACUCUGCUGUGUACUACUGUGCUGUGAGGCCCACAGUGACAGGAAAUCUGACCAAAGUACCACCUUCACCUUUCCUGUCCACGUAG